rnacentral:tRNA from 1 species
GUGCCAGUGGUGUAGUGGUAUCAUGCAAGAUUCCCAUUCUUGUGAACCGGGUUCGAUUCCCGGCUGGCGCA